rnacentral:rRNA from 1 species
UACAGAGGUCUCAAGCGUUGUUCGGAUUCAUUGGGCGUAAAGGGUGCGUAGGUGGCGUCGUAAGUCAGGUGUGAAAUUUCGGAGCUUAACUCCGAAACUGCAUUUGAUACUGCGGUGCUUGAGGACUGGAGAGGAGACUGGAAUUUACGGUGUAGCAGUGAAAUGCGUAGAGAUGUGGAGGAACACCGAUGGCGAAGGCAGCCCCCUGGGCUAACACUGACGCUCGAU